rnacentral:rRNA from 1 species
ACGGGUGAGUAGCGCGUGGGAAUCUACCGUGCCCUGCGGAAUAGCUCCGGGAAACUGGAAUUAAUACCGCAUACGCCCUACGGGGGAAAGAUUUAUCGGGGUAUGAUGAGCCCGCGUUGGAUUAGCUAGUUGGUGGGGUAAAGGCCUACCAAGGCGACGAUCCAUAGCUGGUCUGAGAGGAUGAUCAGCCACAUUGGGACUGAGACACGGCCCAAACUCCUACGGGAGGCAGCAGUGGGGAAUAUUGGACAAUGGGCGCAAGCCUGAUCCAGCCAUGCCGCGUGAGUGAUGAAGGCCUUAGGGUUGUAAAGCUCUUUCACCGGAGAAGAUAAUGACGGUAUCCGGAGAAGAAGCCCCGGCUAACUUCGUGCCAGCAGCCGCGGUAAUACGAAGGGGGCUAGCGUUGUUCGGAAUUACUGGGCGUAAAGCGCACGUAGGCGGAUAUUUAAGUCAGGGGUGAAAUCCCAGAGCUCAACUCUGGAACUGCCUUUGAUACUGGGUAUCUUGAGUAUGGAAGAGGUAAGUGGAAUUCCGAGUGUAGAGGUGAAAUUCGUAGA